UUUGUUUUUUUUAAUUAAAAAUUGAUAUUGCAUAUCAUUUAUAGAAAAUAUUAUAUUUUAUGAUAAUUUAAAAAAAAAAGUAGAAUUUGUAUUUGUUUUUUUGUUACAAAAAAAAAUAUAUAUAAAUUAGUGUUGAGAUGUCGAUUUUUUAUAUAUUAGAUUUUUUUUUUAAAGAAUUAGAAAUUUGUUUUUCUUAAGAUUUUUUUUAUUAUUAGUAUGAAAUUUAAAGUUUUUGUUUUUUUUGUUUAAUAACGGUUGAUUUUUAUUAUUUGUUUUUUUUAUAAAAAAAAUAGUAAUUUUUUAUUAUUUAUAUUAUUAUAGUAUUAGUAAUUAGUUAUUUAUUAAUUUUUUUUUUUUUAUAUAUUUUUAUAAAUUGAAUUAUUAUUAAAUGUUUUUUAAAUACUUAGGUCUUUUUUUAAGAUUGGCUUCUGCCCGGUGUAAAUUUUAACGGCAGUCUUAGCGUGAGGACAUUAAGGUAGCAAAAUAAUUUGUGCUUUUAUUGGGUUCGAGUAUGAAUGAAGUUUUAAUAAUUUUUUUUAUUAAUUUUAUAAUGAAUUUUUUUUAUAAAUAAAAAAUUUUGUUUUUAUUUUUGCAAAGAUAAGUCUUCGUAAAUUCUUUUUAAUUUUUUUUUAAAAAAAAAUUAAAGUUUUCUAGGGUAGAAUUUUUUGUAUGUAUAUUUUUCUAUUAUUAGUUUAGAGAAUUACUUCGGAGUUAACAGAAAUUCAUAUUUUAUCUAGUUCUUAUAGUAAAGUAAGUUUUACAUCGGUGUUGUAUUUAUAUUGUUUGGGAGGUAGAAUGUUCAAUAUUUAAGACUGUUCUUCUUUUUAAUAUAACGUGAUAUUAGUUUAAUUCAUCGUGAGAUAGAAUUGUUUAUCUUGAAAAAUAAUUUUUUUUUUAGGUUUUUAGUACGAAAGGAAAAAUAGUUGAAGUUAAAAACUUUAUGAUUGUACG
rnacentral:rRNA from 1 species